rnacentral:rRNA from 1 species
CUACGGGCUGCUGCAGUGAGGAAUAUUGCACAAUGGGGGGAACCCUGAUGCAGCAACGCCGCGUGGAGGAUGACGCAUUUCGGUGUGUAAACUCCUUUUAUAUGUCAAGAAAAUGACGGUAGCAUAUGAAUAAGCACCGGCUAACUGCGUGCCAGCAGCCGCGGUAAUACGGAGGGUGCAAGCGUUACUCGGAGUCACUGGGCGGAAGGACGCGUAGGCGGGUUGGAAAGUCAGGUGUGAAAUCCUACAGCUUAACUGUAGAACUGCACUUGGAACUUCUAAUCUAGAGUAUGGGAGGGGGAGAUGGAAUUAGUGGUGUAGGGGUAAAAUCCGUAGAUAUCACUAGGAAUACCUAAAGCGAAGGCGAUCUCCUGGAACAUUACUGACGCUAAGGCGUGAAAGCGUGGGGAGCAAACAGGAUUAGAUACCCGUGUAGUC